rnacentral:rRNA from 1 species
CAGAAGCGUGUAUUAAAGUUGUUGCAGUUAAAAAGCUCGUAGUUGAAGUAUUGGUAGGUUGGAUCGGCGCUUGCGGUGAAUGCCGCUUGAUUGUUCUGAGUCCGGCUGGCCAUCAUUCUGGUGUCAUUGGCGUCAGAUCAUUUACUGUAAAAAAAUUAGAGUGUUUCAAGCAAAAGGUUGUAUUUGGAAUAUAGUAGUAUGGAAUAAUAAGAUAGGACUUUGGUACUAUUUUGUUGGUUUGUAUACCAAGGUAAUGAUUAACAGGGACAGUUGGGGGUAUUCGUAUUUGGUUGUCAGAGGUGAAAUUCUUGGAUUUACAAAAGACGAACUACUGCGAAAGCAUUUACCAAGGAUGUUUNCAUUA